UACAGAGGGGGCAAGCGUUGUUCGGAAUUACUGGGCGUAAAGGGCGCGUAGGCGGCCUUCUAAGUCGAACGUGAAAUCCCCGGGCUCAACCCGGGAACUGCGUCCGAUACUGGAAGGCUUGAAUCCGGGAGAGGGAUGCGGAAUUCCAGGUGUAGCGGUGAAAUGCGUAGAUAUCUGGAGGAACACCGGUGGCGAAGGCGGCAUCCUGGAGCGGCAUUGACGCUGAGGCGCGAAAGCCAGGGGAGCAAACGGG
rnacentral:rRNA from 1 species